rnacentral:rRNA from 1 species
GCUUUUGUACACACCGCCCGUCGCUACUUACCGAUUGAAUGAUUUAGUGAGGUCUUCGGACUGGUACGCGGCAUCGACUCUGUCGUUGCCGAUGCUACCGGAAAGAUGACCAAACUUGAUCAUUUAGAGGAAGUAAAAGUCGUAACAAGGCUUCCGUAGGUGAACCUGCGGAAGGACCAUUA